CUUUCAACAACGGAUCUCUUGGCUCUCGCAUCGAUGAAGAACGCAGCGAAAUGCGAUAAGUAAUGUGAAUUGCAGAAUUCAGUGAAUCAUCGAAUCUUUGAACGCACCUUGCGCCCCUUGGUAUUCCGAGGAGCAUGCCUGUUUGAGUGUC
rnacentral:rRNA from 1 species